UUGCCACUCACAACAGGUACACCGUCUUAUAGUGCGGAGUUGAGGAAGUGCACGACACGCGCCAGUGCAGACGGCAAGUAGGCGUGCUCCCUUUCCCUCACGUGGUCCCCGUGCUGGAAAACGAAGUCGAUACUUGACGCACAAGAUCCACGCCCUCGCCACCCCGCCCGCUUCAUCCGCUGCAUCGACGGGGAGAGAAGGCGAGAGAGGUCCAAGGCGUAGAAAAUAGUCGCAUUUCACUAACUUCGAAGGUACACCAGACGGACGCCGAUACUCACAAAUACACGUGCAGGCACACGCAUCGGCAUACAUCCACCCCCCCCCCUGCUCUCUCCUGCGAUGACUGGCGGAAGCCGAUACAACCCCGUAUGACCACCGCCGCGCCGUCGUCGUUGGCGCAAAGCACGACGGCCAGCACAACAACCGCGACGCACAUUGGCACCACGUGCCGCCGUGAGGGCAACGUGCUCGUCAUUUUUGCGUCACUGACAAUAGGGCUCAUCAUUGUCGGCACGUGCGUGUUCGUGUGGCUAUGCAGGUCGCGCCGCAUCCCGCCAUACCGGCAUGGCCAUGUGCGACGCUGCAUCGCCCCCUCUCUUCACGCAGUUGGCGAGUAUACCGUAUGGCAUGAAAGCGACCGGGGCCCCCAUGUUUCGCUUCCUUCCCCCUCUCCCUCCCCGCGUUCACGUCACCUGAAAGAAAGCGGCGAGGAGACACUAUGAAAGGCGCGCAAGUGUGACAGCGACACUGAGUAACGCAGCACGGCAACGAGUGUGCGUGCACUCUUGGCCGAAUCUAUCACCUUCUCGUGCACCUUUUGCGCUGCUGCUCUGCCCGACACACCUGCCAACGGACCCACGCGGCGCGCUCCAUUUUUUUUGCCCUUCCCACCUUUCCACGGUCCUCUUCCCAAGCGACGCCACCUCCGGCACUGUAGGUUCCAGUCUCUUCACUGGUGCCUUACCUGCACCAACGGCACCAAGAGGAAAUGAGAUUAGUGUUUUUCCCGCUAACCGAAGCCGCCAUAGAGAGUCUCAACCGUCUCAGCAUCG
rnacentral:misc_RNA from 1 species